rnacentral:rRNA from 1 species
GACCAACGCCGGCGGCAUGCCUAACACAUGCAAGUCGAACGGACAGAACAGGGAAGCUUUUCGGAGUGGAACUGGAAAGUUAGUGGCGGAUGGGUGAGUAACGCGUGGACAACCUACCUUGUAAAGGGGAAUAACCUCGAGAAAUCGAAGCUAAUACCCCAUAAUAACCUUGCUUCGCAUGAAGUAAGGAGGAAAGGCGGCCUUAGCGCUGUCGAUACAAGAUGGGUCCGCGUCUGAUUAGCUAGUUGGUGAGGUAAAGGCUCACCAAGGCGACGAUCAGUAGCCGGCCUGAGAGGGUGAACGGCCACAUUGGGACUGAGACACGGCCCAAACUCCUACGGGAGGCAGCAGUGGGGAAUCUUCCGCAAUGGGCGAAAGCCUGACGGAGCAAUGCCGCGUGAGUGAAGAAGGCCUUCGGGUUGUAAAACUCUGUCCUUAUCGAAGAGAGAGUGUUGUAGUAACUGACAAUACUAGGACGGUAGAUGAGGAGGAAGCCCCGGCUAACUAUGUG